AAUUGUUCCUUCCACAGGAGACAUCGGAAUCAGAGGUUCCUGCACUUAUUCUUUUUUAUUCUUCAAUGCCCCUUGGCAAUCAUUACUUCACCUGACCGUUUGAUCUUCUUUUUUUUUUUCAACAUCUUGAAUAUAGGUUCGCACGUGGCUGUUAGAUGAGAUAUGAACCAUGACAGGUAGUUCAAUCUAUCUAUGAAACCACGAACCUCUCUUUUUCUUUCUCGGUUCAG
rnacentral:lncRNA from 1 species